GCAGUCCCCUCCGUACAAGAUUUGAAAGGACGUCCGGGCAGCGCUGAACCGGUCCGCAGAACGCAACAAGCAGCUCGCGGACCGUCAUCGCUCCCCGACGCCCGAAUACAAGCACCUGUCUCCAAUCAGGCUCAUCACCACCGGUAUUUAAGCCUACCUGUUCCAGGAAAUCCUCGCCAAAGUAUUGCAGCCUCUCCUAGCGUGUUCCCCCAUGUUCCUGACCCACGUCAUUCCUGCUACGAAGCCAGCCGCCUGUUCUAACCCUAACCAACAUAACCACAUUAUCCGCAAAAAGCGGAGAUGCAAUACUGUGGUCACCAAACCAG